AAUCCAGAAGUUGAUCAUGGUUCAGAGUGAACGCUGGCGGCGUGCUUAACACAUGCAAGUCGAACGGGCAAGGCUCGUAGCGAUACACGAGUUCUGCUAGUGGCAGACGGGUGAGUAGUACAUGGGAAUCUACCUUGCAGUGCGAAAUAACAGUUGGAAGCAAUUGCUAAUGUCGCAUAUAGCCGAGAGGUGAAAGAUUUAUCGCUGCAAGACGAGCCCAUGCAGGAUUAGCUAGUUGGUGAGGUAAUGGCUCACCAAGGCAACGAUCUUUAGUUGGUCUGAGAGGAUGAUCAGCCACACUGGAACUGAGACACGGUCCAGACUCCUACGGGAGGCAGCAGUGGGGAAUAUUGGACAAUGGGCGCAAGCCUGAUCCAGCGACGCCGCGUGAGUGAAGAAGGCCUUCGGGUUGUAAAGCUGGAUCAGUGGAAUACAGAGU
rnacentral:rRNA from 1 species